rnacentral:lncRNA from 1 species
GUUCAAAACUAGACGAGAUCUGCAGCAUUAAAGAAUUCAAGCUACCUGGGGUCUAGCUGAAUGCUGGAGGGUUGAUGACAGCAAGGAAGGAAGAAAGCAAUUAGCCUUUCUAACACUUUCACUUUUUUUUUGAGAUGGAGUCUCACUCUGUCGCCCAGGCUGGAGUGCAGUGGUGCGUAUUUGGCUCAAUCCAACUUCUACUUCCUGGAUUCAAGUGAUUCACCUGCCUCAGCCUCCUGAGUAGCUGGGAGAUUACAGUUUUUCAGUGGUUAUUAAAGUGUUGACUCUGGAGGACUGUUUACAGCUGGAAAUCUAAAGAUUUUUCUCAUCAAUGUACACAAUAAGGACCCCAUUCUUAUCUACAGGCGAUGGAAAUCAAAAGGAAAAUAUUGUCACAGGACACAGAAAUAAAAAAUUAGAAGUAUUAACAUCUCUGGGAACGUAUAUUAAUAUAAUAGCAGAACAGGUG